rnacentral:rRNA from 1 species
CGGGGGGAGCAAGCGUUGUUCGGAUUUACUGGGCGUAAAGGGCGCGUAGGCGGCCUCUGCAAGUCGACUGUGAAAUCUCCGGGCUUAACCCGGAACGGUCAGCCGAUACUGCAGGGCUAGAGUGCAGAAGGGGCAACUGGAAUUCUCGGUGUAGCGGUGAAAUGCGUAGAUAUCGAGAGGAACACCUGCGGCGAAGGCGGGUUGCUGGGCCGACACUGACGCUGAGGCGCGAAAGCUAGGGGAGCGAACGGGAUUAGAUACCCCGGUAGUCCUAGCCUUAAACGAUGAAUGCUUGGUGUCUGGGGUUUUAUAGUCCCCGGGUGCCGUCGCUAACGCUUUAAGCAUUCCGCCUGGGGAGUACGGUCGCAAGACUG